rnacentral:rRNA from 1 species
UACAGAGGGUGCUAGCGUUGUUCGGAAUCAUUGGGCGUAAAGGGCGUGUAGGCGGUUUGCUAAGUCAUGUGUGAAAUCCCUCGGCUUAACCGGGGAACGACGCAUGAAACUGGCAGCUAGAGUACCAAAGAGGGGGUGGAAUUCCCGGGUGUAGCGGUGAAAUGCGUAGAUAUCGGGAGGAACACCUGUGGCGGAAGGCGGCCCCCUGGUUGGGAUACG